AUUGAACGCUGUCGGCAGGCCUAACACAUGCAAGUCGAGCGAGCGGCGGACGGGUGAGUAAUGCCUGGGAAUUGCCCAGUCGAGGGGGAUAACGGUUGGAAACGACUGCUAAUACCGCAUCCGAUGGGAUUGCACAGGUGGGAUUCGCUAGUUGGUGAGGUAAUGGCUCACCAAGGACACGAUCCCUAGCUGUUCUGAGAGGAUGAUCAGCCACACUGGAACUGAUACACGGUCCAGACUCCUACGGGAGGCAGCAGUGGGGAAUAUUGCACAAUUGGGGAAACCCUGAUGCAGCCAUGCCGCGUGUGUGAAGAAGGCCUUCGGGUUGUAAAGCACUUUCAGCGAGGAGGCGUUACUCGCAGAAGAAGCACCGGCUAACUCCGUGCCAGCAGCCGCGGUAAUAC
rnacentral:rRNA from 1 species